rnacentral:rRNA from 1 species
CCUAAGGUAGCGAAAUUCCUUGUCAGGUAAGUUCUGACCCGCACGAAAGGCGUAACGAUUUGGGCGCUGUCUCAGCUGUAGACUCGGUGAAGUCUUAGUACCUGUGAAGAUGCAGGUUACCCGCGACUAGACGGAAAGACCCCAUGGAGCUUCACUGCAGGUUGAUAUUGGGAUUUGAUGCAGCAUGUACAGGAUAGGUAGGAGGCAAAGAGAUGGAUACGCCAGUAUUCAAGGAGCCGCUGUUGGGAUACUACCCCUGUUGUAUUGGAUUUCUAACCGGACGACGUAGAGCCGUUGACGGGACAGUGUCAGUCGGGCAGUUUGACUGGGGCGGUCGCCUCCCAAAGAGUAACGGAGGCGCCCAAAGAUACCCUCAGCUUGGAUGGAAACCAAGCGCAGAGUGCAAAGGCAAAAGGGUGUUUGACUGCGAGACCUACAAGUCGAGCAGGGACGAAAGUCGGGCUUAGUGAUCCGGCGGUGCUGAAUGGAAAGGCCGUCGCUCAACGGAUAAAAGCUACCCUGGGGAUAACAGGCUGAUCUCCCCCAAGAGUUCACAUCGACGGGGAGGUUUGGCACCUCGAUGUCGGCUCAUCGCAUCCUGGAGCUGAAGUCGGUUCCAAGGGUUGGGCUGUUCGCCCAUUAAAGCGGUACGCGAGCUGGGUUCAGAACGUCGUGAGACAGUUCGGUCCCUAUCUGUCGUGGGCGCAGGAAAUUUGAGAAGAGCUGUCCUCAGUACGAGAGGACCGGGAUGGACGCAUCAAUGGUGGACCAGUUGUCACGCCAGUGGCAUAGCUGGGUAGCUAAAUGCGGAAGGGAUAAACGCUGAAGGCAUCUAAGUGUGAAACCCACUUCAAGAUGAGAUUUCCCAUUGCGCAAGCAAGUAAGACCCCUUAAAGACGAUAAGGUAGAUAGGUCAGGAGUGUAAGCAUGGUGACAUGUUAAGCGGACUGAUACUAAUAGGUCGAGGGCUUGACCGA